UACGGAGGAUGCAAGCGUUAUCCGGAUUUAUUGGGUUUAAAGGGUGCGCAGGUUGUUUGAUAAGUCAGUGGUGAAAGUCUGUCGCUUAACGGUAGGAUUGCCAUUGAUACUGUUGGACUUGAAUAUGGAUGAGGUAGGCGGAAUGUGUAGUGUAGCGGUGAAAUGCAUAGAUAUUACACAGAACACCGAUUGCGAAGGCAGCUUACUAAUCCAUCAUUGACGCUGAGGCACGAAAGCGCGGGGAGUCAAACA
rnacentral:rRNA from 1 species